GAUGAACGCUAGCGGCAGGCCUAAUACAUGCAAGUCGAGGGGGCAGCGCGGUAGCAAUACUGGCGGCGACCGGCGCACGGGUGCGUAACACGUAUGCAACCUACCUUCAACUGGAGGAUAGCCCGGGGAAACUCGGAUUAAUACUCCAUAACACAGGGAUCCCGCAUGGGAAUAUUGUUAAAGCUACGGCGGUUGAAGAUGGGCAUGCGUUCGAUUAGCUAGUUGGUGUAGGUAACGGCUCACCAAGGCUACGAUCGAUAGGGGGUCUGAGAGGAUGAUCCCCCACACUGGUACUGAGAUACGGACCAGACUCCUACGGGAGCAGCAGUAGGGAAUAUUGGUCAAUGGGGCGCAAGCCCUGAACCAGCUAUGCCGCGUGCA
rnacentral:rRNA from 1 species